rnacentral:sRNA from 12 species
AAACAGUCGCGUUAGGGAUUGCAAUAGAAAUCCUUUUCAACAACAAACGAGACUUUGCAAAGUCCCGUUUGUUAUUGAAAAGAUUGUAAUGAAAAGCCCGCCCGAAG